rnacentral:rRNA from 1 species
CUACGGGACGCAGCAGUUAGGAAUAUUUUGCAAUGCGCGCAAGCGUGACAAAUUGAGCCAGAGUGAUUUUCAUAUUGAAAAUCUUUUGUGGAAUGUAAAAAGUUUCACGAAUAAGGACUGGGUAAGACUAGUGCCAGCCGCCGCGGUAAUACUAGCGUGUCCAAGUCGCAGCCAUUUUUAUUGGGUCUAAAACAUCCGUAGCUUGUUUGAUAAGUUUCUUGUGCAAUCUGAUAUCUCAAAUAUCAGGCGUGCAAGAAGUACUGUCAAGCUAGAGACUGGAAGACGUGAGAAGUACGUUUAAAGUAGCGGUAAAAUGUGUUAAUCUUAAACGGACUUACAAUAGCGAAGGCAUCUCACGAGGACAGUUCUGACAGUAAGGGAUGAAGGCUAGGGGCGCAAAACGGAUUAGAUACCCGUGUAGUC